CGCGAAGUAGUGUGCCGUCUAUUUAUUUUGACGAAACCUUCGUCGAAGGUGACGGCUGCGGCGGCGGCGGUGAAUCCCAUAAGUGCGCUCGGAGGACGUGAUUUAUGAUGCGAAAAAUCCGGCGGGGUUCCGAAAGGAAUGCGCGUUCGACCGGAAACGAGAGACGAAUUUAUCGAGGAGACGAGCGCGCGUUAUUAAAACGUACACACCGGUGUUCGGCACCAAUCUACACGAGAACGUGAAAACGCGCACAUAAUAUUUGUACGCAGUCUAUCGUGAUCGUAAAGAUGUAUAUUCGGCGUGGUUAAAUUUCUAUGCGUUUUGAUUU